GAUGAACGCUGGCGGCGUGCCUAAUACAUGCAAGUCGAGCGAACAGACGAGGAGCUUGCUCCUCUGACGUUAGCGGCGGACGGGUGAGUAACACGUGGAUAACCUACCUAUAAGACUGGGAUAACUUCGGGAAACCGGAGCUAAUACCGGAUAAUAUAUUGAACCGCAUGGUUCAAUAGUGAAAGACGGUUUUGCUGUCACUUAUAGAUGGAUCCGCGCCGCAUUAGCUAGUUGGUAAGGUAACGGCUUACCAAGGCAACGAUGCGUAGCCGACCUGAGAGGGUGAGCGGCCACACUGGAACUGAGACACGGCCCAGACUCCGACGGAAGGCAGCAGUAGGGAAUCUUCCGCAAUGGGCGAAAGCCUGACGGAGCAACGCCGCGUGAGUGAUGAAGGUCUUCGGAUCGUAAAACUCUGUUAUUAGGGAGGAACAAAUGUGUAAGUAACUAUGCACGUCUUGACGGUACCUAAUCAGAAAGCCACGGCUAACUACGU
rnacentral:rRNA from 1 species